rnacentral:rRNA from 1 species
GACGGAGGAUGCAAGCGUUAUCCGGAAUGAUUGGGCGUAAAGCGUCCGCAGGUGGCAGUUCAAGUCUGCUGUCAAAGACCGGGGCUUAACUUCGGAAAGGCAGUGGAAACUGAACAGCUAGAGUAUGGUAGGGGCAGAGGGAAUUCCUGGUGUAGCGGUGAAAUGCGUAGAUAUCGGAAGGAACACCAGUGGCGAAAGCGGCUUCCUGGUCCAGCACCGACGUUCAGGCACGAAAGCGUGGGGAGCAAACAGG